UACGUAGGGUGCGAGCGUUAAUCGGAAUUACUGGGCGUAAAGCGUCCGCAGGUGGCACUUCAAGUCUGCUGUCAAAGACCGGGGCUUAACCCUGGAAAGGCAGUGGAAACUGAAGCGCUAGAGUGUGGCAGGGGUAGAGGGAAUUCCCGGUGUAGCGGUGAAAUGCGUAGAGAUCGGGAAGAACAUCGGUGGCGAAAGCGCUCUACUGGGCCAUAACUGACGCUGAGACGCGAAAGCGUGGGGAGCGAACAGG
rnacentral:rRNA from 1 species